CACCAGUACGAUAUCAGCCAACAGCCCUACAGGUAACACACACACACACACACACACACACACACACACACACCAGUACGAUAUCAGCCAACAGCCCUACAGGUAACACACACACACACACACCAGUACUAUAUCAGCCAACAGCCCUACAGGUAACACACACACACACCAGUACUAUAUCAGCCAACAGCCCUACAGGUAACACACACACCAGUACUAUAUCAGCCAACAGCCCUACAGGUAACACACACACACACACACACCAGUACUAUAUCAGCCAACAGCCCUACA
ensembl:lncRNA